rnacentral:rRNA from 1 species
UAGGGAAUCUUCGGCAAUGGACGAAAGUCUGACCGAGCAACGCAGCGUGAGUGAAGAAGGUUUUCGGAUCGUAAAACUCUGUUGUUAGAGAAGAACAAGGACGUUAGUAACUGAACGUCCCCUGACGGUAUCUAACCAGAAAGCCACGGCUAACUACGUGCCAGCAGCCGCGGUAAUACGUAGGUGGCAAGCGUUGUCCGGAUUUAUUGGGCGUAAAGCGAGCGCAGGCGGUUUCUUAAGUCGGAUGUGAAAGCCCCCGGCUCAACCGGGGAGGGUCAUUGGAAACUGGGAGACUUGAGUGCAGAGGAGGAGAGUGGAAUUCCAUGUGUAGCGGUGAAAUGCGUAGAUAUAUGGAGGAACACCAGUGGCGAAGGCGGCUCUCUGGUCUGUAACUGACGCUGAGGCUCGAAAGCGUGGGGAGCAAACAGG